ensembl:lncRNA
CAGAGGAUGUUUUUUGACAGAGAAGGGGACUAUGAAUUGAGGGGGAAAUUAAAUCUGAAGACUCUUAAAGCACAGACAAAGGUUAAAACCUUUUGUGUUACUAUUUAUGGGGUAAAACUGUGGAAUAGUUUUACUGUGGACCUACAGCAAUGCUCAAGCAUUAGUCAGUUCAUAAAGAUGUUUCGAAAACUGCUUUUGGAAGAAUAUGAAACUGAUAAAGUUGAUCACCCAUUGUAUGUAUAAAUAUACUAAAUUCUAUCUAAAUUCUAUCUAUUUCUGUAGAUAUGUUUAUACAUGUUCUCCUUGUUUAUUGUGUGGGGUAAGUGAUGAUGGGAAUUAGGUGAAUAGUGGGAUUCAACAAAAUGUUGAGCAGGGGGUAGGGAUUAAUAAGUAUGUUAUACUUCUUCCUACUCCAUUUCAGACCUAAUAAUUGUCAUUUCAUGUCAUUUAGACUUUGUUUUAUUUUAUUUUUUUUUGUUUUAUCUGAGCACAUACGUGUGUGUGUGUAUUUACAUAUAUAUUCGUAUUUGUAAAUGAAAGUAUGUGUAGUUGUGUAUAUAUUGGUUUUUUUUUCUGUAUAUGUCUGAAAUAAAGAUACAAUACAAAUACAAACCUGUAAAGGAGAAGACUCACCUGCUCACCUGCCUGCCCACUCUCCACCGAUCCACCCUACUGUGGAAACUAGCCUCCUCCCCCAAAGCACCUCCCACUCAAAUAAGACCAUUUCCAGGUUCCACAAUCCAGUCCACAAAUCACGACCUCCGGUUGAACCAUUGCUAACUCUGUUCCUCAUCCUCCCCAGACCUCACAUGCGCACGCUCAGUCCCACAACUUCCACCACAUUAGAUAUGCUUAUUCGCCAACUUGAAAAUAAACACUUGAUACACACAAACUCCCAUCUGAGCGCAUUUUCUGAGUCCAUGCCAAUCCUUAGUAUGGCUCAGUGUUUCUGAGUGUAGAAUGCAUUGACCGAAGAUGAAACGCUUGUAAAAUAAGAAACAUAUUUCAUGAUCUAAAAGGUUAUUUAGGCUUCCAAUCAACAGCAAAGACUAACAAAAAAAACAUGAAACUGACCAGUGACCUCUUGAAGGGGCCAAUGAAUCAUUAGUUGUCUAAUCACUUAUCUUUGUUCUUUGGUCAACUCUGUUUUAAACAUGUUACAUAAAUACCUUUAACCUUUAACCUUUAAACUAACAGAAACAACCAAUCCUCUA